CUUUAGUAUGGAGCCACUCUCGGAGAUGGAGCCAUGGAGCUGUUCCAUCCCAAACUGGGUCUGGAACCAAACGCUACCUUACAGAAAGCAGAUUAACAUAUUAGAAAGGUAAAGAAUGCAAUGCCAGCUAUGUUCCUGUGUAUCAUAAGCUAUUAUCUACUGUACGUUCGGCUGAAUAUGAAUAAUUCAUAAAAGACAGGUCCUAGGAGUGGUAAGCCUAUAAUGUUACAGAACAAACUUGCAUAUUCACAAGUAUUACACCAUGCCUACCGGGGAGUUACUCUUCCGGAGAUCAUGCCGCUGCUCGCAUCAAGACUCCCAGAGGCCUGUGACGAGACGAAGAGGGUCCCGGUCGCUGAAGAUGACAACGACUUACUGACAUCGGUCGAGUCUGUCUCUGAGGUUUCCAGCAGAAUCAGGUCCUCUUCAGGCAUCAUCCUCAAGAUGAGCUCAAGUUCUCUGACAAUCUCCCACAUGGAAGGCCUGUCAUCAGUUUCAUGCUGGCAACACUUGGUUGCUAGUGAUAAGAACCUCUUGAUGCAUUCUGGGGGGUAUAAGCCCAUCCGGCCAUCGAUUAUUCCAGAAACUGCGCCCGACUGGCAAGCUGAGUUUAC
rnacentral:misc_RNA from 1 species